rnacentral:tRNA from 1 species
UGUAGCUCAGUGAUAGAGUACUUACCUAAUAUGUAUGAGGUUCUGGGUUCAAUCCCUAGUA